rnacentral:rRNA from 1 species
AGAGAGUCAAAAAGACCGCAAAACCGUUAGGAGGGAAGCGAAUGCAGCUGAAGUAGUUCUCUCCCAGGCUCAGGAGGUGUUGCUUCGGCCUGCUAGCCGGCGGAAACCGUUAGGUGCCGCUGGUUGGACGACCGGACGACUAAUCUGCACUCCUGGGGAGAGCUGGCCAACAACAGUUGCCUCUGGCUCACAAGGGCAGUCGGGUAGGUGACUCCUUCUUCCGAGGGAGAACUAAUUGCCGGCUGUCUGGCAGACUGGGGGCGACUGAGGAGAGUUGUGAAUCUUCACACGUGCAGUGUAGGCCCUUUUGGGCCGGGUCACCUCUGUCCGUUUGGGCACCGCUCUGGGGACUGCUUGCAGUGUCCAGUGACGAAUGUCUGCUCGGGUGGGGGGAUGUCCACUCCUUGCACUGCAGUUGUUGGUGUCCAAAUGGCUGCAUCCGACCCGUCUUGAAAACACGGAANNNNNNNNNNNNNNNGCGUGCGAGUCUUGGGGUGGUAAACCCAUCGGCACAAUGAAGGUGAAGGCAGAUUUUGGUCUGCUGAGGCAAGAGCCUCCCCAUGGAGGCACACUGUCGACCGAUCCCAGGCUACGCUGUGGCGGGAUUUGAGUAAGAGCGUGCCUGUUGCGACCCGAAAGAUGGUGAACUAUGCCUGAAUAGGGUGAAGCCAGAGGAAACUCUGGUGGAAGCUCGUAGCGAUUCUGACGUGCAAAUCGAUCGUCAAAUUUGGGUAUAGGGGCGAAAGACUAAUCGAACCAUCUAGUAGCUGGUUCCCUCCGAAGUUUCCCUUAGGAUAGCUGGAGCCCGGUGCAGUUUUAUCAGGUAAAGCGAAUGAUUAGAGGUCUUGGGGUUGAAACAACCUCAACCUAUUCUCAAACUUUAAAUGGGUAAGAAGCUCGGCUUGCUCAACUGAAGUCGGGCACUGAAUGCCGGGGCUCUUAGUGGGCCAUUUUUGGUAAGCAGAACUGGCGAUGUGGGAUGAACCAAAUGCUGGGUUAAGGUGCCCGAAUCGACGCUCAUCAGAUACCAUGAAAGGUGUUGGUUGAUCUAGACAGCAGGACGGUGGCCAUGGAAGUCGGAAUCCGCUAAGGAGUGUGUAACAACUCACCUGCCGAAUCAACUAGCA